CUUUUAGCGUCACUUCGAAGGAAAGCUUAAAGAAAGGUAAGAUCUGUGGACGUGAUGCUAGCAAAGCUAGCUAUACAGAGAUACAUGUUGCAUCUGCCAUGAAAAAAAGUUGUCACUCAUGCGCUGAAUGAUUGUGUGGA